ACCUGUGGGCCGAGCCGGCCGGCGCUGCAGAGCCCCUGGCGGUUUCCGCGGCCCCCCGCGCCGCCGCUCCGAGGCGCGGUGCGUGUCCCCGCGGCCUCUGGGCAUCCUUAGCUCCCGGCCUCAGCCGUCCGAGUGCGUGCAGACGCGGAAAGCGGCCGAGCCUGCGGGCUCCUCCGGUUGUGAAAACUUGGCGGAGGCACUGCGCGCGCGGGGGCGGCGCUGGAGUCGUCGCGGACCGGGGUGGCCUGGGCGCACUGGCCUGUCCCCGGCGGGCAGGCGAGGCCCGGAGAGAACUUCGGGAGGCGCGGACCGCCCGGCCCCGUGCGCCCCUCUCUUCCCUCGGCCUCAGCGCUGCUCCGUCCUCAGCCCGGAGUGAGCAGAGAGCGGACCCCGCGGUGGCGCACGGCCAGGCUGCUUCCCGUGGCCUGGGAGCGGCUGAGCUACUCUGGGCCAAGCCGGCAAAACAGUGUGCCCUUCGCCGGCCUGCGGAGCCCGCGAGGACCCCGCAGGCCGAGUGCCGCCAGCUGGGACCCCCCCGGGCCGCUUUGAGGCCACUGGCUGAGACCCGGGCCCAGCGCCCCGCAGCGUCCGCCCUCGGCCCGCGGGGUUCUCCCUCACGCGGACCUGCCACGUGGCCUGGACGGAGGCCGUUCGGCCUGGGCAUCAGGAUGAAGCCUGGUCCUGGGUCUACACUGGGGCGGGCCCUGUCCCUGGUGAGCAGAGCCACAGCUCCCUGGUCUGCAGCUGUGAGGAUGCUCCAGGCCUAGGGACUCGGACAGCACCAGGAAGUCUCGCCUGGGAUUAGCGACAGUGUGACCCGCGAGAGUAAUUACUGCUUACCCGCUCCGAAAUUACCAGCUUCGGUUCUCUGACCUGCCCGGGGCUUCUUCCUGUCCACGCCCCUCCCUGCUGCCCCCCUCCCGGCCAAGGCCAGGGCCCCGUGCCGGCUUUGGCAGAUUUCGGGUGGCCUUCAGUGAGCUGGCGCCGCCCGCUCUGGGAGUCCCCACCCUGCUUCCUCGCCAGGAACCCCAAGCAGGGCCCACUUCCCUCUUCUUUGCACCCCAAGGAACCCCAGCGCUGCCUGGACCUGGGACUGUCUCUCCAGCGUCCUGCUAAGCAAACACCAGUGUGGCAUUUCAAGGUGACAGGUAAACACAGAGGACGAGCGGGUCCGGGCUCCCCAGCGAAGCGGAGGAAGACGUCGGGAGGGCGGGGGACCCGCGAGCCAGGCCCCUCCCCGACCCACCGCCUCCGAAGCCGCCUCCCUGAGCGGACCUAGGGGUCGCUGCGAGGACGGAGUCUUCCCCGGCCCCGGGGGUUUCUAAGUGAAAACCCCGAAAUAAUUCUCCAGGAUUCCGAGGUUCUGCUGCCCAGAGGCCUCA